rnacentral:rRNA from 1 species
GUUGUAUAGUCAAGUAAUUAAGUGCAUGUGGUGGAUGCCUUGGCAGUCAGAGGCGAUGAAAGACGUGAUAGCCUGCGAAAAGCUCCGGGGAGGCGGCAAAUAUCCUUUGAUCCGGAGAUGUCUGAAUGGGGGAACCCACCUACUUUAAGGUAGGUAUUGCAACAUGAAUACAUAGUGUUGCAAGGCGAACGAGGGGAAGUGAAACAUCUCAGUACCCUUAGGAAAAGAAAUCAAUUGAGAUUCCCUCAGUAGCGGCGAGCGAACGGGGAUCAGCCCAUUAAGUUAUGUGUGUUUUAGUGGAACGCUCUGGGAAGUGCGAACGUAGAGGGUGAUAUUCCCGUACACGAAAGGGCACACAUAAUGAUGACGAGUAGGGCGAGGCACGUGAAACCUUGUCUGAAUAUGGGGGGACCAUCCUCCAAGGCUAAAUACUCCUGACUGACCGAUAGUGAACCAGUACCGUGAGGGAAAGGCGAAAAGAACCCCUGUGAGGGGAGUGAAAUAGAUCCUGAAACCGCAUGCAUACAAGCAGUGGGAGCACCUUCGUGGUGUGACUGCGUACCUUUUGUAUAAUGGGUCAGCGACUUAUAUUCAGUAGCAAGGUUAACCGUAUAGGGGAGCCGUAGAGAAAUCGAGUCUUAAUAGGGCGUUUAGUUGCUGGGUAUAGACCCGAAACCAGGCGAUCUAUCCAUGAGCAGGUUGAAGGUUGGGUAACACUAACUGGAGGACCGAACCCACUGUCGUUGAAAAGCCAGGGGAUGACUUGUGGAUAGGGGUGAAAGGCUAAUCAAGCCUGGUGAUAGCUGGUUCUCCCCGAAAGCUAUUUAGGUAGCGCCUCGGACGAAUACCAUAGGGGGUAGAGCACUGUUUCGGCUAGGGGGUCAUCCCGACUUACCAAACCGAUGCAAACUCCGAAUACCUAUGAGUACUAUCCGGGAGACAGACUGCGGGUGCUAACGUCCGUAGUCAAGAGGAAAACAAUCCAGACCGCCAGCUAAGGCCCCAAAAUCAUAGUUAAGUGGGAAACGAUGUGGGAAGGCAUAGACAGCUAGGAGGUUGGCUUAGAAGCAGCCACCCUUUAAAGAAAGCGUAAUAGCUCACUAGUCGAGUCGGCCUGCGCGGAAGAUGUAACGGGGCUAAAACUAUGUGCCGAAGCUGCGGAUNNNNNNNNNNNNNNNNNNNNNNAUGCUGGAGGUAUCAGAAGUGCGAAUGCUGACGUGAGUAACGACAAAACGGGUGAAAAACCCGUUCGCCGAAAGACCAAGGGUUCCAGUCCAACGUUAAUCGGGGCUGGGUGAGUCGACCCCUAAGGCGAGGCCGAAAGGCGUAGUCGAUGGGAAAAUGGUUAAUAUUCCAUUACUUCUGUGUAAUGCGAUGAGAGGACGGAGAAGGCUAAAUCAGCCUGGCGUUGGUUGUCCAGGUGAAAGGAUGUAGGCAUGUAUCUUAGGCAAAUCCGGGGUACUCUAUGCUGAGAUCUGAUAGCAAGCUGUACUUGUACAGCGAAGUGGUUGAUGCCAUGCUUCCAGGAAAAGUCUCUAAGCUUCAGUUACACAGGAAUCGUACCCGAAACCGACACAGGUGGUCAGGUCGAGUAGACCAAGGCGCUUGAGAGAACUCUGCUGAAGGAACUAGGCAAAAUGGUACCGUAACUUCGGGAGAAGGUACGCUGUUGUUGGUGAUGGAACUCGCUUCCUGAGCUGACGACAGCCGCAGAAACCAGGCCGCUGCAACUGUUUAUUAAAAACAUAGCACUCUGCAAACACGAAAGUGGACGUAUAGGGUGUGAUGCCUGCCCGGUGCUGGAAGGUUAAUUGAUGGGGUUAGCGUAAGCGAAGCUCUUGAUCGAAGCCCCAGUAAACGGCGGCCGUAACUAUAACGGUCCUAAGGUAGCGAAAUUCCUUGUCGGGUAAGUUCCGACCUGCACGAAUGGCAUAAUGAUGGCGGCGCUGUCUCCAGCAGAGGCUCAGUGAAAUCGAAAUCGCUGUGAAGAUGCAGUGUACCCGCGGCUAGACGGAAAGACCCCGUGAACCUUUACUGCAGCUUGACACUGAACUUUGACCUUACUUGUGUAGGAUAGGUGGGAGGCUUUGAAGCUGGAACGCUAGUUCCAGUGGAGCCGUCCUUGAAAUACCACCCUGGUAAUGUUGAGGUUCUAACUCUGUCCCGUGAUCCGGGACGAGGACCGUGUCUGGUGGGUAGUUUGACUGGGGCGGUCUCCUCCUAAAGAGUAACGGAGGAGUACGAAGGUGCGCUCAGCGUGGUCGGAAAUCACGCGUAGAGUAUAAAGGCAAAAGCGCGCUUAACUGCGAGACCCACAAGUCGAGCAGGUACGAAAGUAGGUCUUAGUGAUCCGGUGGUUCUGUAUGGAAGGGCCAUCGCUCAACGGAUAAAAGGUACUCUGGGGAUAACAGGCUGAUACCGCCCAAGAGUUCAUAUCGACGGCGGUGUUUGGCACCUCGAUGUCGGCUCAUCUCAUCCUGGGGCUGAAGCAGGUCCCAAGGGUAUGGCUGUUCGCCAUUUAAAGAGGUACGCGAGCUGGGUUUAGAACGUCGUGAGACAGUUCGGUCCCUAUCUACCGUGGGCGCUGGAAAUUUGAGAGGAUCUGCUCCUAGUACGAGAGGACCAGAGUGGACGAACCUCUGGUGUACCGGUUGUGACGCCAGUCGCAUCGCCGGGUAGCUAUGUUCGGAAGGGAUAACCGCUGAAAGCAUCUAAGCGGGAAGCCUACCUCAAGAUAAGAUUUCCCUAGGACUUUAUGUCCUCUAAAGAGCCGUUCGAGACUAGGACGUUGAUAGGUUGGAUGUGGAAGCAUAGUGAUAUGUGAAGCUGACCAAUACUAAUUGCUCGUGAGGCUUGACUAUACAACACCCAAGCAGUUG